AGUACUCCCAACCUGGUUCUCCAGGGCUGCUCUGCCAUCUCUUGAGACUCCAGACUCUGAAUCCAAGGCUCAACUGCCCCAUUUUAGAUGCCUCAUGAGCCUAAAUGACCUGCCUGCAAGGCCAGAUCCACCCCUCCCCUGCUGUCUCUCCCUUGCCAACAUCCACAGCAGUCCCCACGUUCAGGAGAAAGAAGCGUUAGCAGCAGGAAGCUCCCCUGGGUUCAGAGGCUCUUUAGUUAUAAGAGGGAAUGUGUUGUAGUCACAGCUAGAGAUACUUGAACUAGACAAAAGGAUUUUGUACACUGCCACUGCAGCAUGAGAACACAGAUUGGAGGUAGUGGGACAUGUUACCAAAGCGCGUUAUAGACAACCCUACUCUCACGUUUUCUGAUCCAGAAACAGGGGACUGUGGCAGACCCAGAAAGAAAACUCCAGAGAUGGAAAACUAUGAUCCUUUGCACUAUGAAAUAAGCUAGAGCACAACUGAAUGUCUGCUUGGAACACACGACAUCCACAGAAACAUCUUUAAACACAGAAGGUCUUCUCCAAGCUCAUCUCUGGUGAUAGGACAACAGUGGGCCUCAAGCUUCUCCAGCCAGUAGCAGACCAGAUCUGGUUUCAACAAACUUGGAACUCUCCAAGCCCUUUCCUGCUGUGAACUGAUUUAUUUGGAUCCAUCUGUCAGAGCGUGACUGAAGAGUGUCCGGCCAGCUAGCAGCCCAGCUGCAGCAGAUGUUGUCUCAGAAUGCCCUGCGAGGUGAGGCUCAUAUGGAUUUUACCUGCCCGUUCCACUUGUUCUCCUUUUGCCCUCCUGGGAAAGAGUUGGAAAGGGGUUGAGAACAUCUGCAUGACCCAUGAGAACCAGGAAAGUUAACAGGGCAUCUUGGGGGCCACAGAGCACUAAGGAGGCAGGCGUGCUGGUGCAGCAAAUGGCGGUGACCCUGGCUCUAGCCUAUGAUUGUACAUAUAAAAUAAAUGUUGCUGAUACAAGGGCAUGUACAAUUUAUUAAUAAUAAAA
rnacentral:lncRNA from 10 species